UUUUUUUUUUUUUUUUUUUUUGCCCUUUGUGGGAUUACGUUAGAAUUGGCCACAAAAAAAACAUUUAUUAUAUAUAGAUGAUUGAGAAAUUAUGGGGUUGUUGCCAUCUGGAAAAAAAUUUAUUGUACUAUUGGGUAGGCCACAAAAUGAAGAGAAGAAUGAGGAUAAAUUAUGGUUCUUGACUAAUAUAGAGUACAGUGGAUUAGGUUCUUUCUUCUUCUUUUUUAUAUUCGUAAGAAAAAAUGUCGUACUUUUUUAUAUUGAAAUUGGGAUUUAGUAAUAUGAAUAAUGCUUGUGGUACAUCGAGGUGUCCAAAAUGGACACUUGGCGCCUCGGUAUUGGACACCCUUUUCGAUACCACUUUGUACCACAAGCAUGGUCCUUAAUAAUAUAUAGUUGAUAUGACAAGUUUAAGAAGUGAUUUCGAUAUUAGAUCCUCCUUCAACUCGAUGGAGCUGAGACUUGAAUACUCGUGUUAAAGUGAGCUGAUCUCUCCUAUUAAAACUUGCUUAUAAUUUGUCGAUCUUAGGAAAUAUGGCUGAGGCAUUAGGGGACCAUUUUCAAAAAUAACGUUGAUAAAAAUUUAAUGGAUCAAAUGAUCACCGACAAAAAUUCCUUUGGUGAUCGUGGAUAGUACGAAGGUUGGUAAUUCUAAUUGAAAUCAAUAUUUGUUAGUGAUUCGGACUUAUUUUUGGCUAACGGAGCUUCGCUCACGAACGGUAUAACAAUUGAUGAUUCUGACGAAAAUCAAAAUGUGAGAUUGAUUUGUACGGAAUUGCUAUUAGCCAUACCGUUGUUGGGCUUCGCCAACUAUUGUCGACGGUUUAAUUUUUACAUUUUUAUUAAUUUAUUUAGUGAAAAUAUAUUCAAAGGAUAAAUUAAUUUUGUUAAACUAUUUAUGCUUUUAAAAGUACUGUUAAUUAUA